rnacentral:rRNA from 1 species
AUGGGCGAGCGCCAAGCUGCGCUCAAGCUCUGGCUCCGUCUCCUCGCCGCCAAGGGCGUCCAGGAGCUCGUCCUCGUCAAUCGCCCGUGGCCGCGUGAGGUGCCCCUCCCCAGCACGCUCUUCACCCUCUCCACCCUUACCCGCCUCUACAUCGGCGUCUGGAAAUUCCCGGACGCGGCCGGCCUCCGCGGCGUCUCCUUCCCUCACCUCCGGGAGCUCGGCCUCUGCCUCGUCGAAGUGGAGAACGGGGACAUCGAUGCCGUCGUCGCCAGGAGCCCCGUCCUGGAGAUCCUCAACAUCCAAGGGAGUCUCAGGGGGAAAUGUCUCCGCCUCGUCAGCCAAAGCCUCCGAUGCGUCCAGGUCUGCACCUCCGUGACCGUGAUGGAGAGCACCGAGGUGGUAAACGCCGAGCGGCUCAUCGUGUGCGAAGAUAUGAACCUCUCCGGCGUGUGCACCAGGGUGAAGAUUGGAAAUGCCCCCAAGCUGAAAUUGUUCGCGUACCUCGAGCCAGGGAAACAUACUCUAGAGAUCGGGGACACCGUGAUCAUGCCUGGAGUGGAGGCGAGCCCAAGCAUGAUGCUCACAACCGUCAAAAUUCUGAGUUUGCAUGUGUGUUUUGGAGUUCACAAAGACAUCAAGAUGAUGCCAGCCUUCCUCGGAUGCUUUCCCAAUGUCGAGUCGCUGCAUAUUACGUCUGCAAAAUGUGAUCAACCCACUGACAAGCUCAACCUCAAGUUCUGGGAAGAUGAGGCUGGCCCCAUCGUCAAUGUGCUGCUGCGCAUCAGGGUGAUGACAUUCAGGGAGUUCCGGGGGGAGCAAUAUGAGCUUUCAUUCCUUCGGUACUUCUUCAAGAGUACAUAUGCUUUAAAUCAAGCAGUCAUUUCGUUGGCCAAUCCAAGCUUCACUUCAAGGUCCGAGGAUGAGAUGAUAUCCAGUGUGGUGAAUAUGAGAAUUGGAAAUUUUGCCAGUGAAUUUGAGGUCCUUUUCUACGUGAGCACCGGUCCUGAGGGACUCAGUCGCUGGACCUUCAAGCGAGGGGCAAAGUUUUCUGAUGAUGACCCUUUUGCAACAGUUAAAAUCAUUCCAAGGCCCGGAGACCAGACGUCGCAAGCUUGUAAGUGUCACAACUGA